GGCACGGGCGCGCCCGGCAAACGGGAGUCGGGCGGGCGGGGCCGGGGCAAGUUCUUCACUGAGGGGAACGUGAAGCCCUGCCAUGGGCUGCCUACAGAAGCUGUGGUGCCCCAUCCCUGGUAGUGCUUAUGGCCAGGCUGAAUGGGGCCCUGGGCAGCCUGAGUUGGUGGGGGGCAGCCCUGCCCACGGCAGGGAGGUGGAACUUGGUGGGUGUUAAGAUCCCUUCCAACUCAAGCCGUUCUCUGAAAAGCAGUCAGGUACUUGGCAAAGGUUCCUGUCCAGAACCCUGCACAGGCCCUUCAAGGCUGUGCUGUUGGAGCUGCAGCUGCAGGUGUGAAACUCAUCCCUGUGAGGCAACACCAGGGGAACUUUUGGACUGAAGGGAGGAGGAAAAAAAGAUAAAAGAGCUGAGAAGUCACGGGAUCUCUCUCUUCACUCCCUGGCUCUUGCAAGGCUACAGCUUCAGCAUAAGGUAUUGGAAACUGUCUCUCUCCCUCUCUCAUUUAUUUGAUUUAUUAGCUUCAAUUCCGAUUAACUUGUAUUUCGCUACUGUAGUUAGUAAACUGAGGUGUUUGGUUUUUUUUUUGUCCCUCAGCUUGUUGCUGCUGGCUAUUUCCCUUCUCCCUUUCUCUUGCCUUGGGGCGUGGACUAGUGUGGUCCUGUUGCCCCCCUGUCACAGAGAUUAGAUCUCAUGUUGACUUUUUUGGUGCACUGCCUGGGAAACCAAACUGAAGCUUUUAACCAAAUGCUAAUGACAGAGAGAUUAAUUAGAGAGUUGUUGCUCUUCGUUGGAGAGCUGUAACCUUCACAGACAGAUUAGAAAGAUCUGCUGUCGUAGGCCUUUCUGGGCAUUCCACCAACUCUGGACACUGCACAAAGUUUUUUGAUUUUUGGCACUGUGCCAACCAGCACAGAGGCAGAGAUACUGUGCUCUGUUUUUAGAAGAUAAUUUAAGAUUAUCCAUAAGAUUGUCUAUCUGACAACCUUCCUCAGAACUUGCCUUUUUUUUUUUUUUAAUCCAAGCAGCUAUUAUGUGCUAUAGAGGUGAAUGUAUAUUUAGGCAUUUAUGGUGUAUGUUUGGGUGGUACUAGGAUGUUAAUAAUUCAAUAGAAUGUGUACCUCCUGAACUGUCAGGAUCCUCUGCAAACUUAUGGUAUAUCCAAACAGUGAUGGUUGCCCUGAUUGUGCUUCUUGGAAUCAUGGGCAUCGGUAUUAGUUCUUUCGUUUAUAGAAUCUGGAGAAAGUCUUCCCCAUUCCUAGAGCCAGAAGGCGCUAAGUGGCAAGGGGAAUUGAGGGGUCCUAGUGAGAUAGGGACCCCUGGUGUCGUGGAGUGUCACCUUUGAAUACCUGUGGAGCCUCGAGGGUCUAAGCAAGUAUUUAAGUUAGGGAUGUUGCAACUUAGGUAGAUCUGAGGAGGCACAAGUUAUUUGGGGUUUGGCUUAUGCUUACCAAGUCCUAUAUAAUACUGUUUUGGAGAAGAAAAUUUCCAAAACCGAAUGGAGAGAAUUUCUGAGCUGAGAUCCAAGCCAAAGAGAAGAGUCUUCAGACCAAGGGAGAAAGUCUCCAAACCAAGAAAGAAAGCCUCUGAGCUGAAUGAGACAGCCUCUGAGUUGAACUAGAGAGAAAGAACAUCGUAACUGCGCAACCUGAUCAAUCACAGGAGGCACCGGUAUUAAUCUCAGUUGCCCCUGUGGAAGGACAUAAAUGGAAAGGAGUGUUGUUUUGUUUAGAAUGGAAAGCAGAAACAGUAGCAGAGGAAGAAGAGGAAGACCCAGGGGAGGGGCCCUCUGCAAAACCACUGUCACUGAGAAAGGCAACAGGAAAAACUAAAAGACAAAAGGAGAAGAGCGAGGAAGACACUGUCACUGUUAGUACUACUCCUUGACCUCUUAAAAAAUGACUGAAAUUUGAGGUUUGAGAAAGAUGCCGUGCAAAAUCCUGAGUGAGCCCUUUGUCACCUGUUUGCAUUGAUGGUGGGACACUGGGGCCAAUAAUGUGUUGCUAGAUGGUAAUGAAGCUUACCAGCUGGGAAGCAUUGCUAAAGAUUCAGCCAUUAACAGAGGAAUCAGGGAGAUCCAGCUAAAUGCUUGGAAGAAGGAAGAGUGUAGGACAGAGGGAGAGAGCAAGAGGAGCAGAACGAGGCAUGAUUUGUUGAGCUGCACAGUUAGCUUAUUCAGCUAAAGGCUGUCAGCAGAAAGGGAAAAAAAGUGUUCAAAGUGUGCACGUAGGGUGAGGGACUCCACAUUUCAGCUGAUCUGCAGGUGGAGCUCAGAUGCAUUUGCAUUUGCGCAUUGGGAGUUAAUGAGUUUGUGCUCCAGUUCCAUGAAUUGACAAUAGACCCAGGGUACCUUUCACAGAAGAAAACUACAUCUCCCAGAAGACUUUCACUGGUCUGUUUCCAUUUUCUACUCAGCGGGAAAGAUAAAACUGUUCAUGAGUCAUGAGACUGCCCCUUCUUUUACUGCUCGUCUCUGUGGUGUGUGCUCCCUAGCCAUCUCGCCUUCAGCAUUAGAGUAAGGCCUUCAGUGUUGGACAAUCUCUCUCUCAUUUUAUUUGAUUUAUUAGCUUCAAUUCCAAUUAUAUUGUGUUAUCUCGCAUUCCACUAACAUAUUUAGUAAAUCAGUUUUCUCCCUUAGCUCAUUCUCACUGUUUUGUUUUUAGGCCCAUCUCCCCAUCCCUGUUCCCCCUCUCCUGGGGUGUGGGUCCAUGUGUUCCUCUGUCCUGUUAGUCACAGAAUCAGGCUGAACCAGGCCAGAACUGUUAACAUAAUCCAAAUAAAAUAAAAUAUGUAGCUAAGCAUCAAAUAAUCUUGACCUGCCUCCAGAAAGCCACAAUAAUACAAAAGAUUUCAAUAUAUAAAUAUUUUUCCUUUAAAAAGAAUAUGCAAUCUUUGCUGCUGUUAUAAGAAAUGUAUCUACUACUGUUGUUACAGUUAUAAAGGAAAAAAGGGAAUUAUUACCCACAGGAACGUCUCCAUGUAAAACAUAUCAUCGUGAAAUGCAGAGAAGUAAAGAACUUUACAGAUAUUUGCUUUUGUUUAUCUCUGCUUCCAGUGAGUGCUGAAAGUGUAGCUCUACAGAAUUGCAGGCUUUAAAAAAAAAAAAAAAAAAGGAUAAAACAUGCUUGGCUAGCACCUCCAUGAGAUCACACAGCAGAAAAAUAAUCCUCAGUUACAGUCCAAAUAUGUAGAAGAAUGGAAGGUGUGUUUUAUGGAAAACUAUCUUACUGGAAUCUAAGAGGAGUUCCUUUGUGUGGACAACAAAUAGUUUUCUAUAGAUUGCUGCUUUAAAUGACUGCAUUUCUUUCCAAAAACGUCGUGAUGAUAAAGUGGAAAACCAACUCUUCUGUCAGAGGAGUGGCAAAAGGAGAAUAAGAAAUAGCUACACUAGAAGGUUCUGAUCUCUCAGAAGAAGUGGCAGGAUAUUGCAGGCCUUUUUUGUUAUUGCAUUAUGAUUUUUAAAAGAGUUUUCUGUAUUUUUCUGACUUUUCUCAGUUUGGAGUUCAUUAAUUUUCUGUAAAACCAUUUAAACAGAAAAGUCAUGGCGCUAAUGCAUUAUUAUUAAUUUAUUGGUGUUUUCAUAUUUCUGUGACAAUUAGGGGGAAAAACUGUGCCUACAUACUUCAUUUUCAUGUCACAUGCACCUGACUGCUCCACUCACUUCUUUCCUAUAGUCACUAAACCAAUACCAGUAACAGCAACACUUAAGAGCAUUUUUUUUUUCUGUGUCAAAGUAAAUAGCUUUCCCUUUUUUAUGACAUUUCCUGCUUGUGUCACUGGUAAGGGAAAGGAUUAUCCUGUGGAUCAGAAAACGAAGUCAAUGCUCUCUGAGCAUUUUAUUGUGAAAUCUGAGUGGAGACGGAUGCUCUGAGCUCCCAGAAUCAAAGUAGGAUGUGAUACAAAAACUGCUCCCAAAACCCAGGCUACUCCACCAGUUUUGGAAGGAGUAAAUCACCUCCUUCCCUUUGUUGCUCCAUUUUUCAAAGAGCAACCUUGUGCAGAUCCUUCACAGAUCAGACACUGAUCUAAGCUAACGUUUUCCUACCUUUCUCAACUGAUGAGACCUGAGCAUUGCCUGGUGGUGAUGCAGAUCUCAAAAAGAAAACUGACGCCUAAUCAUGGAGGUGCACCUUUCUUCCUCAGCCUCUGUGGUACACAGAAGUGAGUGGAAACAUGGACUGCAUAAAAGAAGAGAAUAAGGUAAAUCAUGUAGUGCUGUACAGAAGUGGAUGUUCCACACAGCCAAGCAGGUGGGACGCUUGGUUGGCUACCAGGGGUCCCCUGUGCUGCAGGUGAUAAUAUUCUGCGGUAUUUCUGCCAAACCGUAAGACAGACUUCAGAGUCAAAACCCUAGAGAGCAACUGGAAUGAGCUAACAAUCUUGUUCCUUCAGACACCCUGCCUUCAUCUAGGUUCAGUUUAAACGCAUGACUUCAGCAGUCAUUAACCAGCGUACGGAUCAUAUACUGCAAACAAGUCAUGUUUGCUGCAGCCUAGGCUCUCACUCCUUUGGCCUCGACUACCUAGAAGCAUGGACUUCCUUCUCUAUAAGGAAGCACCAGUCAGCAAGUAUUAGACAUCUUUUUCUCUGUCCACACAAUACAGAAAGUAAGCAGUGGAAGGCAUUCAAUGGACAAGAUAAGCAUGACAGUAAGCAGUAAAUUUUUUCAUCUUCAGUCAGUAACAUUUGCUCCCAAACCAGAGGAUUUUGCAGAACUUUGCAUCUGGUUAGGUUCCUUCCUAUCCCCAGAUCUAUUCAGCACUUCUCAGCACACUCCCUGCCACACUAUUCUGGAGUGUUCCCUGAGCAGGAAUGUCAGUUUGUUUCAGCAAGUUUCAGCCAUCAAAGUGCUUCACGAUAAUAGCUGAACAUCCCCAACUGGAUGAGUUUGUUAUUCUGUCGCAGCAACUGCAGCCCUACCUCAAACUAGCAUUCAGUGAUAGUUUUACUGCCUCGUCGCCUACGAUAUGAUUACUUUGCCAUCUGAAACCUGACACUACAAGUAGACAUGUCCUGGCCAGCCCGUGGCCCCUCACGCAACUUUUCCCAAAGCCCCAUGCAUGUACCUAUCUGCUGGUGGUGCCGGAAGUCUCAGCUUUGAUGGAGCUGCAGCAGGAGAUCAUAGAAUCAGAGGAGUUCAAUAAACAUUUGGAUAACGCUUUCAGAUGUAAGGUUUGAUUUUGGGUGGUCUUGUUUGGAGCCUGGUGUUGAAUUCGAUCUCUGGGGGUCCUGUCCAACUCAGAAUAUUCUACAGUUCUAUAGUUGAAAAGGAUCUCAAAGUCCACCAGAUCCCAUCCCCUGCUGUGGGCAUGGCUGCUCCCCACCUGCUCAGGCUGCCCAUGGCCCCAUCUAACCUGGCCUUGAGUGCCACCGAGGAUGGGGCACUCGCAGCUUCUCUGUGCAGCUGUGCCAGGGCCUCUCUACCACUGGGAAAUUCAUGCUAGCAAAUUAAAUGCCAAAGAAUCAGAAGACACUGAUUUUGGUGUUCCCUCACCCCCCACAUUCUACUGCUCAUACAGUAGAUACAUACUGUAAAUCUUGAACAAAAAACAAAAAUGGUAUCUCACCCAACAAGUCCAACCCCAAAUUAGGUCAUUUUAAAAUGAAAAUAUUUAUCUUAAAAAGAUGAAGCUCAGCUGAAAGUGUAACUGUUCAGUGAGAGCACCAAACCCAUGUUCUUAGAGUUGCUUUCUUCCAGAACAGCUUGGAGUUCUCUCAGUCAGGGAGCUUCCUUCAUUUCUAGGAAAACUUUUGGCCCUCGGUAGAUGGUGCUAGAGCCCUUCAGCCUGCCCGGGAGUGGCCAGCCCUCCUGCCACUGCCAGCACUGAGUGAGUAGCUGUUGUGAUUUUUUGAUUUUUGUUAUUGUUAUUCCACAUCAUCAUAUCUUGUAGUGCACUGGUAGUCUCAGAAGAGAUGUACUACAGCUCCCACAACACUUUGCUGUACUGUUUCCAUUUUCCAAUCAGUGAGAAAGAUAAAACUGACUGAAAGUCACAAGACUUUCUCUUUUUGCUCCCUGGCAGAUCAGAAUAAGAACCUCGGAUUUCAGAAACUCUCUCAUUUAUUCGAUUUAUUAACUUCAAUCCCAAUUAACUUGUAUUUCUGCUAUUAUAGUUAGUAAAUUAAUUUUCCUCUUCAGAUCAUUGCUGCUGUUUUUUUUUUUUUUUCUUUUCCUCUUUGUUCCCAUCCACCUUUCCCCCCCACCUUUUUUUGGCUGGUGGGCCUGUGGGCUUGCCAUCCCCGUCACAGACACAGAUCUAGAGAUAACUGUGACAACUACUGGUGCAUUGGCUGGGAAAUUCAAACUGAACUAUUUAACAUUAGCAAAAGAGAGAAUUAUUAGAGUGCUGUACAAAGAGUUGCAGAGUGCUGUAGCUAGCUUUGACCUGCAUAGAUUAGGUUGUAGGCCAGGCACUGAUUUUUGUUAUUUUUUUUUGGCACCAUGUCAGCUAUGAAGCUGUUCUUUAUUUUAGAAGCACUAUAUAAAGGAUUAAAGGCCAUUAUGUUCAGAAUUUUAAUUCUUGGAACUUACUGGUUUCUUAUUAAGUUUGCCAUUCUCUAUUUUGGAGUUAUAUAUAUAUACAUAUAUAUAUAUAUAUAUAACCAAUAAAGGGCACUGAUGGAGGCACCUACCUGGUACCUGUAUGUAAUGUUGUAUGAUUUGAGUAUUGACAGUUACAUUCCAGAGGGAAUAGGUAAUUUUACAGACAACACAAUGUUUAAACAGGUUUCCAGGUCCUCCUCUCAGUUCCUUAUACAUUUUUGGAAUGCUAAAUCAAUGAUCAUGUUAUCGAUCUCCCUGAAUGUGUUCUUCUUCAUUUACUUUAUCUGGAGGAAGCCUUCCUCAAACCCAGAGAAUACCAAGUGGCAGGGAGUGUGGAGGGGUUUAGGAAAAAUCUUAGAGGGAUGGGGUCCCCCAGUGUCAUGGGAUUUCACUCUUGAACAACUGUGGAAUCCUGAGAACCUAAGCAAGUAUUUACGUCAGGAAUGUUGCAGCUUAGGUAGAUCUGAGGAAGUACAACUUGUCUGGGGCGUGGCUUGUGUUUACCAAGCUUUAUAUAACACUGUUUUGGAGAGCAAGAGUUUCCAAGCUGAGAUCCAAGCCAAAAGGGAAAGUCUCUGAGUUGAGCUAGAAAGAAAGAGCAUUGAAACCGUGCACCCUGAUCAAUCACAGGUGGCACCAGUAUUGAUGUCAGUUGCCCCUGUGGAAGGACAGAAAUGGAAAUGGGUGUCAUCGCAGCUAGAAUGGAAAGAAGCAGCAGCAGCAGAGGAUGUAGAGGAAGACCCAGGUGAGGGGCCCUCCCUGAAACCACGGUUAUGGAGAAAGGCAACAGAAAAAAAUAAAAGACGAGAGGAAAGCAAGGAGGAUGUCACUGUUACCACUACUCAUCAACCUCUGAAAAUGACUGAAACCUAAGGUUUGAGAAAGGAGUUUGCACGGCACCCAAAUGAGCCCUUUGUCACCUCGUUACUUCAGCGUUGGAACACUGGGCCAAUAGCUUGUUUUUAGACGGUAACAAAGCUCGCCCAGCUAGGAAGCAUUGCAAAAGACUCAGCUGUUGACAGAGGAAUUAGUAGAUGUCUGGAUGGAGUUACCACCCCUGGGAAAGAGUGUUAUUAGCUGUAAAGGAAAAGCACCCCUUCAAAGAUGAUCUGGAACCUGAGAUGAAAAAAAUGGACUACUAUUGAAAAGGGUAUUUAGUACUUGAGGGAAAUAGCCAAGGUGGAAAUGUUGUAUGACUCCAUGUAUGUUCCUAACAAUCUAUGCCAAGACCGUGAUCCUGAGAGAGUUAGGAGUAUGUCAAGUAUGUGGUGGAAACUCACAAGAACAGCACCAGAAAAGUACACUGGUACACUAGCAGCAACAUUUGAAAGAGACGAGGAACAACAAAGACCUCUAGUGUUUGAACUGAUCAUUAUGCUUCAAGUCUUCGAACAACAGUUACCUCCGUCUCAUAUUUCAGCCAUCUUGAAAGUAACAGAACAACUAGAUAAAAUGGAGAAGAAGCAGGAGGGGAUACUGGAAGAACUGUCUCUACUGAUUAAAAGAGAUGAACCCGUGGUGGUAUCAGAAUCACCUGAUGAAGAUUAGGAUGAUCAAAACAGUCUACUGAAGGAGCUGACCAAACUGAUUAAAGGUGAUGAACCCUGCUCCCCACUUGUAUCAUCAAAAAUCUCAGUUAUGAAAGGCAGAUGUCUUCCUGCUCAAGCAAAUGACAGUAGUAAAUCUAUGGCACGUGCCACCUUGUGGAGUUACUUAUGUGAGCAUAGAGAAGAUACGAAGAAGUGGCAUAAAAAAACCACUCCUGUACUACAAGCAUGGGUGAGAGAAUUACAAAACAGAUCAACCACCAAUGCAAUUGCUCCAGUUACUGCAAGUCCUGAUCAUGACUCACAAGAGAAGAAUGACACAGGUAACAAAUAGAGGGGCUCUGCCCUCAGCCAGGGGGGAAAGUGAUAAAAGAGUGUAUUGGACUGUGUGGAUUCGAUAGCCUGGCACAUCAGACCCACAGAAAUAUAAGACACGGGUAGACACUGGUACACAGUACACUCUAAUGUCCUUGAGUCAUGAAGGGGCAGAAUUGAUUUAUAUUUCUGGAGUGACUGAGGGUUCUCAAGAACUGACUGCGUUGGAGGCCAAAAUAAGCCUCACUGGUAAAGACUGGCAAAAGCAUCUUAUUGUGACUGACCUAGGAGCCCCGUAUAUACUCGGUAUCAAUUAUCUAAGAAGGGGGUAUUUCAAGGAUCCCAGGGGGUUUUGAUGGGCCUUUGGAAUAGCUGCUUUAGACACAGAAGAUGUUAAGCAGCUGUCUGUUUUGCCUGGCCUGUCGGAAGAUCCGUCUGUUGUGGGGUUGCUACAAGUGGAAUAGCAGCAGGUACUGAUCACUACAAAAACAAUGCACAGAUGGCAGUACUACACUAACCAGGAUUCCUUGCUCCCCAUUCAUAAGUUGAUUUGUCAACUAGAGAGUUGGAGUGAUCAGCAAAACUCACUCACCUUUUAACAGCCCCGUAUGGCCGGUGCAUAAAGCCAGUGGAGAAUGGAGGCUGACUACCAUGGCCUGAAUGAAGUCAUACCCACACUGAGUGCUGCUGUACUGGACAUGCUAGAACUCUGAUAUGGAUUGGAGUUAAAAGCAGCCAAGUGGUAUGUCACCACUGACAUUGUUAAUGCAUUCUUCUCAAUUCCUUUGGCCUCAGAAUGUAGGCCACAGUUUGCUUUCACGUGGAGGGGUAUUCGGUAUACAUAGAACUGUUUGCCCCAAGGGUGGAAACACAGCCCAACCAUUUGCCAUGAGUUCAUCCAAACUGCAUUGGAACUGGGCAGUGCUCCCAAGCACCUGCAGCACAUUGAUGAUACUGUUGUGUGGGGCAAUACAGCGGAGGAAGUUUUCAAGAAAGGAGAGAGAAUAAUCAAAAUCCUUCUGUGAGCUGGUUUCGCUAUUAAGCGAAGCAAAGUGAAAGGGCCUGCACAGGAAAUUCACUUCCUAGGAAUAAAGUGGCAAGAUGGGUGUCGUCACAUCCCAGCGGAUGUGAUUAACAAAAUUACUGCUAUGUCUCCACCCACUAGGAAUAGAGACACAAUCUUUUCUGGCUGUAGUAGGUUUUGGGGAAUGCAUAUUCCGAAUUAUUGCCUCAUUGUUAGCUCCCUUCAUCAGGUGACGCAAAAGAAUAAUUUUAUAUGGGACACUGAGCAGCAGCAGGCUUUUGAGCGAAUUAAACGGGAGAUAGCCUGUGCUGUGGCCCUGAGGCCAGCAUAGACAGAGCAGGAUGUAAGAAACUUAGUCUGUACUGCUGCUGGAGAGAGAGGCCCCACUUGGAGUCUGUGGCAAAGAGCCUCAGGAGAGAUCAGAGGCUGACUCCUUGGAUUCUGGAGUCGAGCAUACAGAAGGUCAAAAGAGUGCUAUACUCAAACUGAAAGGGAGAUCUUAGCUGUGUAUGAGGGGGUUCGAGCUGUUUCUGAAGUAAUAGGUACUGAAACACAGCUCCUUUUAGCACCUUGACUGCUGGCGCUGAACUGGAUGUUUAAGGGAAAAGUUCCCUCUACCCAUCAUGCCACUGAUGCUACUUGGAGUAAGUGGAUUGCACUGAUUACUCAGCAAGCUCAGAUGGGGAACCUCAGUCGCCAGGAAUCCUAGACGUGAUCAUGGACUGGCUUGAAGGUAAAAAGUUUGAAACUACACCAAGAGAAGAGGUAACGCUUGCUGAAGAGGCCCCACCAUACAAUGAAUUACCAGAAAAUGAAAAGAAUUAUGCCCUGUUCACAGAUGGAUCAUGUCGUACUGUAGGGAAGCAUCACAGAUGGAAAUCUGCUGUGUGGAGCCCUACAUGACAAGUUGCAGAGGCCACGGAAGGAAAAGGAGAAUCAAGCCAAUUUGCAGAGGUAAAGGCUGUCCAACUGGCCCUAGAUGUUGCUGAAUGGGAGAGGUGGCCAAUGCUUUAUCUCUAUACUGACUCAUGGAUGGUGGCAAAUGCCUUAUGGGGGUGGUUACAGCAGUGGGAACAAAAUAACUGGCAGUGAAGGGGUAAACACAUUUGGGCUGCUGAACUGUGGAAAAACAUUGCUGCCUGAAUAAAGAAUAUGGUUAUAAA